rnacentral:rRNA from 1 species
ACGACUCUCGGCAACGGAUAUCUCGGCUCUCGCAUCGAUGAAGAACGUAGCGAAAUGCGAUACUUGGUGUGAAUUGCAGAAUCCCGCGAACCAUCGAGUCUUUGAACGCAAGUUGCGCCCGAAGCCGUUCGGCCGAGGGCACGUCUGCCUGGGCGUCACGC